CAGCAGCCGCGGGAAUACAGAGGGUGCAAGCGUUAAUCGGAAUUACUGGGCGUAAAGCGUGCGUAGGCGGUUUGUUAAGUCUGCUGUGAAAUCCCCGGGCUCAACCUGGGAAUGGCAGUGGAUACUGGCAAGCUAGAGUGUGUCAGAGGAUGGUGGAAUUCCCGGUGUAGCGGUGAAAUGAGUAGAGAUCGGGAGGAACAUCAGUGGCGAAGGCGGCCAUCUGGGACAACACUGACGCUGAGGCACGAAAGCGUGGGGAGCAAACAGGAUUAGAUACCCCUGUAGUCCCUGUCUCUUAUAA
rnacentral:rRNA from 1 species